CUUUAAUGCAGCAUGGCCACUAAUGCUGCAACCUGCUCAGUCCUGAGGCUGCCAUCUAUUCCAUAAUCAGCCCUAAAUCUUACAUGCUGUGCAACAAACAUUACUCCAUCUGCCCAAAAAGGAAUAUUGAGGCUAUUGUAACGAUAUAAUCAAGGCUCAGAAGAUGCAGUGAUAUGUGUGUCCUUACAUUUUCCUGAAGUUACUUGAGGUACCAGAGGACUACCGGCCCCCAUGGAACUGUACCCCCGCUGCAAACGGAAUUGUGUGGGGUAGGGAGGAAUAUCAAAUUAUAAACUAUUCUGAUUAAGUUCUUUUCUGUCCCUUUAUUAAGUUUUUUUUAAAUAUCAAAUUGCUAAAGUAAUUGGAGCAAACUACCUGAGCCAAGAUGUUGAUACAGACAAUCCAAUGGAGUAAAACUGGCAAGAUAUGGAGUGGAGUGAUGUGAUUGAUAAUAAUUAAUUCUCUAAUA